rnacentral:rRNA from 1 species
GUGCACCAGGCGAGAAUACUUUACAAUGUGCGAAAGCACGAUAAGGGAACUCUGGAGUGCCUCCUAAGGAGGCUGUUCAGGUGUCUAAAAAGCACCUGAAGGAAGGGCUGGGUAAGACCGGUGCCAGCCGCCGCGGUAACACCGGCAGCCCAAGUGGUAGCCACGUUUAUUGGGUCUAAAGCGUCCGUAGCCGGCUGGGUAAGUUCCUUGGGAAAUUUGGCUGCUUAACAGUCAAGCUUUUCAGGGAAUACUGCCCGGGCUUGGGGACCCGGGAGAGGUCAGAGGUACUCCGAGGGGUAGGGGUGAAAUCCAUUAAUCCUUGGGGG